rnacentral:rRNA from 1 species
GACGAACGCUGGCGGCGUGGAUUAGGCAUGCAAGUCGAACGGUAUCAUCCUUUCGGGGGUGAGAGAGUGGCGAACUGGUGAGUAACACGUAGGUUAUCUACCCUCAAGACGGGGACAACCCAGGGAAACUUGGGCUAAUACCGGAUGUGAGCAACUUUUAGUUGUUUGAAAGGUGGCGUAAGCUGUCGCUUGGGGAUGAGCCUGCGUCCUAUUAGUUAGUUGGUGAGGUAACGGCUCACCUAGGCAAUGAUAGGUAGGCGGCCUUAACGGGUGGUCGCCCACACUGGGAUUGAGAUACGGCCCAGACUCCUACGGGAGCAGCAGUCGAGAAUAGUCUACAAUGGUCGGAAGACUGAUAGUGCGACGCCGCGUGAACGAUGAAUCCCUUCGGGGUGUAAAGUUCUUUUAUAUGUGAGCAGUGCUUCUUAUAUUAACAGUAUGGGGAGAGAGAUAUUAGCAUAUGAAUAAGCAACGGCUAAACUCCGUGCCAGCAGCCGCGGUAAU